rnacentral:rRNA from 1 species
UACGGGGGGGGCAAGCGUUGUUCGGAAUUACUGGGCGUAAAGGGCUCGUAGGUGGCCAACUAAGUCAGACGUGAAAUCCCUCGGCUUAACCGGGGAACUGCGUCUGAUACUGGAUGGCUUGAGUUCGGGAGAGGGAUGCGGAAUUCCAGGUGUAGCGGUGGAAUGCGUAGAGAUCCGGAAGAACACCGGUGGCGAAGGCGGCCUGCUGGGCAGUAGCUGACGCUGAUGCGCGACAGCGUGGGGAGCAAACAGG